rnacentral:rRNA from 1 species
CGAGUGGCGGACGGGGGAGUAAUGUCUGGGAAACUGCCUGAUGGAGGGGGGUAACUACUGGAAACGGUAGCUAAUACCGCAUAACGUCGCAAGACCAAGAGGGGGACCUUCGGGCCUCUUGCCAUCGGAUGUGCCCAGAUGGGAUUAGCUAGUAGGUGGGGUAACGGCUCACCUAGGCGACGAUCCCUAGCUGGUCCGAGAGGAUGACCAGCCACACUGGAACUGAGACACGGUCCAG